rnacentral:rRNA from 1 species
AUUGAACGCUGGCGGCAUGCUUUACACAUGCAAGUCGAACGGUAACAGGCCUUCGGGUGCUGACGAGUGGCGAACGGGUGAGUAAUGCAUCGGAACGUACCCAGAGGUGGGGGAUAACGCAGCGAAAGCUGUGCUAAUACCGCAUGUGAUCUGAGGAUGAAAGCGGGGGACCGAGCAGCAAUGUUUGGCCUCGCGCCUUUGGAGCGGCCGAUGUCGGAUUAGCUAGUUGGUGGGGUAAAGGCCUACCAAGGCGACGAUCCGUAGCUGGUCUGAGAGGACGACCAGCCACACUGGGACUGAGACACGGCCCAGACUCCUACGGGAGGCAGCAGUGGGGAAUUUUGGACAGUGGGCGCAAGCCUGAUCCAGCAAUGCCGCGUGCGGGAAGAAGGCCUUCGGGUUGUAAACCGCUUUUGGCAGGAACGAAACGGUGUCCGCUAAUACCGGGCGCUAAUGACGGUACCUGCAGAAUAAGCACCGGCUAACUACGU